GUAGUUCGAAAGCAUGUAAAAAUGCAAGUAGAAAAAUAGGGACCACUUUAGUGGGAAGGUAACAGCAUUCCGUGCACCUUCAACAUUUAGUCAUGCCGGCCAUAUGACCGUGGAGACGUCUUCGAACAGCGCUGGCUCUCCGGCUUUGUAACAGAGAUUAGCACCGCCCCCUAGAGUUGGAAACAACUAGCACAUAUGUGUGAGGGGAACCUUUACCUUUAACAUCAUACUUACAUACAAAC